CACGUAGGGCGCAAGCGUUGUCCGGAAUUAUUGGGCGUAAAGAGCUCGUAGGCGGUCUGCUGCGUCUGCUGUGAAAACCCGGGGCUUAACCCCUGGCUUGCAGUGGAUACGGACAGACUAGAGGUAGGUAGGGGAGAAUGGAAUUCCCGGUGUAGCGGUGAAAUGCGCAGAUAUCGGGAGGAACACCGGUGGCGAAGGCGGUUCUCUGGGCCUUACCUGACGCUGAGGAGCGAAAGCGUGGGGAGCGAACAGG
rnacentral:rRNA from 1 species